CACGAGCAUGCUGGAAAAAAAAACUAAAGAAGAAGAGUUCGGUCACUUCCUCUAAUGUCAAGCGGGGAUAUCGCUUAUAUAUAUGUCAAUGGGAUAUCGGCUACUAGUGUUAUUCAUUCCUCCCUCAUUCCCGUUUAGUUUGGUUGGCUUCCCCCAUAUAUCUAUGGUUUUCCCCAAAGGAGGACUGUGCUUACAAAGAUUUUCACCCUUUCAUAUUACUCGCUACGGCGUAAACUCACACGCAAUCGCAAGAGGAUUAGUGGCGAGCCAGCUGCUGCAGCUUUGAAGUGAACUGAAAGGAGCCAGUCAGACGAACGGAGAAACACCCCCGACCUCAAACACACUGCAGGUGUCGGUACUGAAGUCCAAAAAGAUGAAGGAAAAAGGGGAUGUAAGAGGAGAAGAGGAAAAGGGAAUCGGAGGAGAACAUUUGGAAAGAGGGGAAUAUAAUAUUGGAAGAACAAAGAAGAGAAGAUUGGAGAGGAGGCAAAGUGUGGCAAGACACUGAAAGAAGGGAUGGAAAUUAGGACAGAGGAGAAGCAAACCAGACUCUUCUCUGUAUUCAUCUCUCUUUUCCAUUUAGAGGGAGGAGAAGAAGAAAGGGAGGGAGAAAAGAUGAGAGAAAGGAAGAGAGGGAAUGUGGGGAAGAAGACAAAGAAGAAGGAAGAGGAUGGCAAGGAUGAGGGGAGAACAAAGAAAAAAGGCUGUUGAAAUGACAGGAAGAUAUGGUGAAAAAAAAAAAAGAAAAAGGAGGGACUUUGACCUGGUUGAACUCGACCAAGAGUCCGAACACAACUUUACUCAGCAAAUUGUGUGCACAGCUGCAGCUCCACAGUGUGUGUGUGUGUGUGUGUGUGUGUGUGUGUGUG